rnacentral:rRNA from 1 species
AUUGAACGCUGGCGGCAUGCCUUACACAUGCAAGUCGAACGGUAACAGGUCUUCGGAUGCUGACGAGUGGCGAACGGGUGAGUAAUACAUCGGAACGUGCCUAGUAGUGGGGGAUAACUACUCGAAAGAGUGGCUAAUACCGCAUGAGAUCUACGGAUGAAAGCAGGGGAUCGCAAGACCUUGUGCUACUAGAGCGGCCGAUGGCAGAUUAGGUAGUUGGUGGGAUAAAAGCUUACCAAGCCGACGAUCUGUAGCUGGUCUGAGAGGACGAUCAGCCACACUGGGACUGAGACCCGCCCCGACCUCCUACGGAGGGCAGCAGUGGGGAAUUUUGGACAAUGGGCGAAAGCCUGGUCCAGCAAUGCCGCGUGCAGGAUGAAGGCCUUCGGGUUGUAAACUGCUUUUGUACGGAACGAAAAGCCCCGGGUUAAUACCCUGGGGUCAUGACGGUACCGUAAGAAUAAGCACCGGCUAACUACGUGCCAGCCGCCGCAGUAA